rnacentral:rRNA from 1 species
UACGGAGGAUCCAAGCGUUAUCCGGAAUUACUGGGCGUAAAGAGUUGCGUAGGCGGUUAAGUAAGUUAGUAGUGAAAGCGUUCGGCUCAACCGGAUAUACAUUACUAAAACUACUUUGACUAGAGGAUGAGAGAGGUGGCUGGAAUUCCCUGUGUAGGAGUGAAAUCCGUAGAUAUAGGGAGGAACACCGAUGGCGUAGGCAGGCCACUGGCUCAUUUCUGACGCUAAGGCACGAAAGCGUGGGGAGCGACCGGG